rnacentral:lncRNA from 1 species
UGUUGCUCAUCUGCCUCCUAUGAUCCACGGGCACCUUCCCAGGAGCUGGUCUUUGGUGUUCUGAUCUGGAACUUGGCUGGCCAUUCCGAUUAGCUGAUUGGCCAUUCAUUGUUGAACCUGGUGGUCUCAUGGUUGGUUGACGGUUUGUCGAGGAACCAGGUCUCUGGCUUCCAGAGGAUACAGCUCUUUGCUGCAUUUGGUUACCAGAGGAAACUGGUCUUGAAUUUUGCAUUUGGCUACCAGAGGAAGCCGGUCUUGAUUUCUGCAUUUGGCUGCUGCCUGA